GCCUGGUUAGCAUAAGAGUAAUGCGAUUGUUUUGUAAUCAAUAUAAGCAAGUGCGAGUCUUGCACUGGGCU